rnacentral:lncRNA from 12 species
CUGAGCUCUGAGAAGCUGGCUGGUGUUUUUGUCAUGUUGAUUUCACUCUGAUAUUUUGAGGUGGAUCACACGUGCUCUGUCACCCUGCAGGCUGCAGGGGCAGGAUAACCAAAGCAGGAGAAGCUCUGAACACGAUACAACACUACAAAUACUUGGAGGAGCUGAGAAGUCCAAAUGCAAAUUUUCCUCUUUGUCUUUUGCAUGUGACCAUUUUGAGGACUUGCACAUGGAGUUACUGACUGAGUUAAAGCAUUAUCUGAAUUGUUCAUUAGUUUGCUCUUACUUGGUGUAAAUC